rnacentral:rRNA from 1 species
AACGAACGCUGGCGGCGCGUCUUAAGCAUGCAAGUCGAACGGGAUCCACGCGCUUGCGCGUGGUGAGAGUGGCGGACUGGUGAGUAACGCGUAGGUGACGUACCCUCCGGACGGGGAUAGCCCUUAGAAAUAAGGGGUAAUACCGGAUACGGUUCCGUGUGUCAGAGGCACGGAAGGAAAGGAGCUUCGGCUCCGCCGGGGGAUCGGCCUGCGUCCCAUCAGCCAGUUGGCGGGGUAACGGCCCACCAAGGCAAUGACGGGUAUCCGGCCUAAGAGGGUGAACGGACACAUUGGGACUGAGAUACGGCCCAGACUCC